ACCAAUCAGAGCCCAGGAAAUGCCCCUGCCUGGGAGGAGCGUCCCUUGGCCUCCCCUGCUUGCACCUUACGAAGCCCAGCUGGGCCAGGCGAGGCAGACAGCACAGCCUCCUCCUUUGUUUCCUCCUGACCGAAAUCCUCGGCUCUUCAGCUGGGCCUGCACCGCGCAGCAGACACUGCACAGCCUCGGAACCUUUCCCCACUCCUAAGCAGACACGCACGUCUGAGUACACGUAAGAUUCAAGAAGACUCUAAAUGCAACGAGGACUGAGAGCCACUAUGGGGGAGCAACGGAUCCUACUGAGGAUCACUGACAACGGGAGGAUGCUUCCUAAGGCGGGAAUGUCGCUGCCAAAGAAGAACCACAGUGAACACAGCUAAGCCAGCUGGAGCCAGCCAAGAACUACUUGGAUCCAGGAGCGCUUGACACACAAACACCAAGUGAGCUGGAGGCACAGCACGACAACCCAGAGAUUACCACCCAGAAGCCUUUUAAUGGAUAAAUAUUACCAUCGUCAUCAAAACACAAAAACUCUCGAUGGCCACAAAAGGCAAAUCACAGAGCUCAGGGAAGACGUCCUUUGGCUGUGUUUGAGGAAAUGGAGCUGAAAGUGUUGCACACAUUGUGUGACUCGGGCACUGAAAGGACCUAGGGUGGGCGUGUCGGGUGAGGACCUCAGUUUUCCUAGACCUUCCAUAAAAAGUUUAUUUUUAAAAAUGUCAGUCACACCAGAAUCCUUGGUAAAUAAGGUCACAAAAGCAAGAAUAAA